UAUCGUCAUUACUGGUUCGUAGAAAAUCCUACGAAAAGUGAUGCACAAUAACUCGUAGGAUUUGAUACGAACUUCCAGCAACACAAGAGAUCAGUGCGCCUGCGCAACAGAAGACGUCAUCGCGCCUUCUCGUUUUCUCCUUCCGUAGAUCAAUUUAGCGAUGAUUUCGGUGCAAGGUAUUUUGCGGUUACGCGUCUUGAAAAAAGAAUAGGCUACUUUGGCAUUAUGGCUUCAGCUUCAGAAACAUCACAGCUUGCUGAGAUUCUCAGAGAAGCACACUCUCUGGCAGGAGAACUUAAGGCAACAGUGGGAAGAAAGAAAAAAAGGAGGAUAUCCAAACAUAAUCGAUGUCGUUGGAGACAACGAGAUGAUGAUGGCAAUAUCAUUCCCCAAACUAUCAAGUCAAAUUUAUCAAACUCACACGUGAGACAAUCCAGAUCAGUCAUAUCCAGUAAUCCAGAAGAGCCUUCAGUAGGAAUGCCUGAUGAGCAAGAAGAAAGACUAGACUCUGUCCUUAAAGAGCUGGAGAGCCUG